rnacentral:rRNA from 1 species
AGGGAACGAAUGGGGCAGGCCUAACACAUGCAAGUCGAGCGGAUGAAGGGAGCUUGCUCCUGGAUUCAGCGGCGGACGGGUGAGUAAUGCCUAGGAAUCUGCCUGGUAGUGGGGGAUAACGUCCGGAAACGGGCGCUAAUACCGCAUACGUCCUGAGGGAGAAAGUGGGGGAUCUUCGGACCUCACGCUAUCAGAUGAGCCUAGGUCGGAUUAGCUAGUUGGUGGGGUAAAGGCCUACCAAGGCGACGAUCCGUAACUGGUCUGAGAGGAUGAUCAGUCACACUGGAACUGAGACACGGUCCAGACUCCUACGGGAGGCAGCAGUGGGGAAUAUUGGACAAUGGGCGAAAGCCUGAUCCAGCCAUGCCGCGUGUGUGAAGAAGGUCUUCGGAUUGUAAAGCACUUUAAGUUGGGAGGAAGGGCAGUAAGUUAAUACCUUGCUGUUUUGACGUUACCAACAGAAUAAGCACCGGCUAACUUCGUG